rnacentral:rRNA from 1 species
GAUGAACGCUGGCGGCGUGCCUAAUACAUGCAAGUCGAGCGAACGGACGAGAAGCUUGCUUCUCUGAUGUUAGCGGCGGACGGGUGAGUAACACGUGGAUAACCUACCUAUAAGACUGGGAUAACUUCGGGAAACCGGAGCUAAUACCGGAUGAUAUUUUGAACUGCUUGGUUCAAAAGUGAAAGACGGUCUUGCUGUAACUUAUAGAUGGAUCCGCGCUGCAUUAGCUUGUUGGUAAGGUAACGGCUUACCAAGGCAACGAUGCAUAGCCGACCUGAGCGGUUGAUCGGCCACACUGGAACUGAGACACGGUCCAGACUCCUACGGGAGGCAGCAGUAGGUAAUCUUCCGCAAUGGGCGAAAACCUAACGGAGCAACGCCGCGUGAGUGAUGAAGGUCUUCGGAUCGUAAAACUCUGUUAUUAGGGAAGAACAUAUGUGUAAGUAACUGUGCACAUCUUGACGGUACCUAAUCAGAAAGCCACGGCUAACUACGUG